rnacentral:lncRNA from 1 species
GCUCUUUCCCGCGAGCGAAGCCUGCGCUCAGGUCCCCAGAACCCGGGCGAUUCACGAUCUGUCCUCUAGCUGUCGGGGACAUAAGAUAGCGACUUCGCCGCGCCAGCCAGCAGCACCCGGGUUCUGAAUGCCAGAAGCUCGCCUUCCUGGAUCGCCCCUCCUCCCCCCGCCAGAUAUCCGUCGAGAAGCCGAGGCAUGAAGGGGGCCAGCUGUGAGUGCUCGGGAAGGAGGGCUGGGUGAGGCCCUGCUGCCGGUCCGGUCCCGACUCCUGGCGGGGCUGGAGGUGGCGAAGUGUUGUUAUGGAGGAAUGGAAGCGGCUGGAGUUUGUUACCCCCUUUUGUGGGGGGGUCGCAUUCAGUUAUCAACGUCUUCUGUACACAUCCGUACUUGGAGCGGGAAGCGCAGGCUGUGCUUGGACCCUGCUGUGCACAAGUGUGCGUACGGGUGUGUCCACCGUGUGGGCCUUUUCCUUUGUGCAGCUUUUCCCGUGCGCCGAUGCUCCGCCUGCAAACGGUCAGGCUCGCCAGUGCUCCCUCCUGGAAAGGCUCUGGGACAGCACCCGCGUGGACCUUCCUCCGCAUCAGUCCUUAGAGCGUCUGCUCUAAGCAAAUAUCCAGUGGUAGACACUGUUCUGGGCUUUCCUUAGGUGAUUCCAGAUUCUUCCUGACAGGCGGACUAAUGGAAUUCAGCAGAGCUCCAGGGAAAAGCCUGAGCAAACGCGAAUCUGCUCAGCUUGUCCUUCAAUCCAUUCUACGAGGGGGGGACCCGGUCGCCAGGUUCUGAGCCUAUUUCAGAAAACUCAGCUUCCCCUUUUGGCGUGUAAAAAGCCAGACCUCAAACACCCUGUAUUCAGUUUCUAGUAAGAGCCACUCACCCCAGGGCUUUGGGGACGUGUUUAAAUGCUUUCUGGUAACAAUUAUGGGCUGAGGUUAAGAGAUGGUGUUAGCCCACCUCCGACGUGAGAUUUGUGCAGAGGUUUCUCCCUCCCCAUGCUAUUUGGGCACUUUGCACUCUGCCUGCACAAGUAGAGCAACAAUUUUCAUAGCAACCUCUUGCAAGAAAUUCAGAAAGUCGUUAAAGACCCAAAGGAGUAAGACAGCUUUGGGUUGUGUUUCCAUGAUAUCUGGCUAUUCAAGGGCCGUAAGUAUUUUUGAGGAACCUAAUGAGGUAGUGAGAUGGUAGUAAGUUCUCUGGUGCCGUCAGAGCCAAUUGUGAGUUGGCCCCUAGAAGCUAGCACAUGACUAAGGAGACUGGUAAUGUGGGACAUUCUGGACUUUGCAGAUCCAGUGACCUCUGAUUCUUGAAUUGAACCCGGUUGUAAUGGGUGAGAAUCAUGGAUGGAAAGGAUAGGAGAGGGGGGGAGAACAAGAAGAGGCAGGAGAAGCUUAUGAAUAGGAAUGAGAGAGGAAAAUAAGAAAUAGAAAGGAAAUAAAUCACACUCAGAGGGCUGCUCUCUUCCCACAUCUGUACUUUCACAAUCUUCAGAGGUUUCCAUGGAGAUGAGUUGGCUGAUUUUAUGGAAGAUGUAACAGGCAGUGCCUGUCCUCAGAAACCAAUUUUAUCCCCGCAUCUCUAUCUGGGGCCUUAGCUGCUUCACCUGGGCCACGAAGGGGUGGGUCUGUGAACUCCAGGUUCUCUUUUCCAGUUCUGAAAUUCUGUAACUAUAACUAAGAAAUGAGCAUAGUUUUCAAUAGCCCAUACUUCCUUGUUCCUCCAAGAAUCGUCAUUGUCUCCAUUGCUCUCGUGAAUAUGGAUAUGCUUCCUAUAUUCUCUCUUUCCCUGCUCUCCUCCUUUCUGUGCCUCCUUUUAGCUUUCCUAAUUAUGAUUUAUUCCCUGUCUCUGACAAAUCACAUUGUUCUAAUUUAUGGCAAAAUCAAGGAACAAGCCAGAAUAGCCUGCCUUCCUCUCUAAUGAAUAAAUUAAUAAUUAGUCACAUCUAUUGAGCAUCAAUUAUAUGCCCAGGGUUGUGAUAGGCAAUGUCAAAUACAGCAGCUACCACCACCGUGUAAUAAGUGACUGCUCUGGCCUCCUGCUACAAUGGUAGGCAUUUCACAAACAUCAUUUAAGCCCCACAAUAACCCGUUAGAGCUUUAGUCUCUUUUUGCAGAUGCUACUGGCAUAGGGACUAAACUGUGUAUCAUUAAUCUUAUGGAUCUAGACCAUUCUGUGCCUUUAGGUAAGGAUUUGCCUGAGCCUGGAAAGACAAAUCAUGCUUUAAGCACUGCCAAGGUAGAUGCCACUUCCCUUUUAGUGCAUUACCAGCACUGCCUCUGACAACGAUGAGGAAGACAAAGGACCCACGUUGGGCCACAGGUGAGGGUCAGGUACCCCUGGAGCCACCAAGUUUAGUCUAAAUCAGUGGUUCUCAAACUAGCAGAAUCACCCAGAAAUUCAGUGAUUUUUUCUAAAAUACAAAUUCCUGGUCCCCCCCUCCAGAGAUUCUGAUUCAGUAGUGUCAAAUGAGACCUUAGAAUUUGCCUUUCUAGCAAGUUACCAGGAUGACUGAUGCUGUUGGUGUUGGACGACACUGUGAGCACCACUAGAGCAAGGCCUAGAGCAAGGCUGUUCAAACUUCUUAGACUGAAAACCACAGUAUGAUAUGAAUUUUACAUCAUUAUACAAUAGAUGUAAAUAUACAUAAUUAAAACAAGAAUUGUAUGAAUCAAUUUUUCCCUUGCUACAUGUGAAGCCAUGAAAUAUAGAUUUCUAUUCUAUUUCUUUUUUAAAAAAAACAGUGGUCCAAAUUAGGGAAAUACGCAUUUGGAGAGUAUGGUAUUGUAGUUAUAUAAGAAAAUGUCUCUGGAGUUCCCGUCGUGGCUCAGUGGUUAACAGAUCCGACUAGGAACCAUGAAGUUUCGGGAUCGAUCCCUGGCCUUGCUCAGUGGGUUGAGAAUCCGGCGUUGCCAUGAGCUGUGGUGUAGGUUGCAGACAGCGGCUCGGAUCCCGAGUUGCUGUGGCUCUGGCGUAGGCCAGUGGCUACAGCUCCAGUUUGACCUCCAUGUGCCGCGGGAGCGGCCCAAGAAAUCGCAAAAAGACAAAAAAAAAAAAAAAAAAGAAAAAAAAUGUCCUCAUUAGAGAUUUACCCUGAUGGUUUUAGGAGUGAAGCAUCAUUGUCUGCCAUUUAAACUACCUUAGCAAAGAGAAUAAAUGUGAUCAAUCCUAGGAAAUAGUAAUAAUUGUUAAGUGGGAGUGGUAUGUAUAUAGGUUAUUUUACUAUGCUCCCUACUUUUCUACAUGUUUAAAUACUUUUUUUCUUAAUAAAAAGUGUUUU